rnacentral:lncRNA from 1 species
GCUCGGUUCGGUCUUUUUUGAGAUAGUGCUAAUCUUGAUGCAAGAUAGAUGCACGGUUUGCAUGGAACAUACAAUAUGCUCAGAAAUCAAUUAGGACGCACCUGAUAUAACUCCAUGAUGAUGUGUGUAAUAUGGAAUCUUGCUUCGGUUCGUUUAGAGAUUGUGUUAGUUUUGGUAGAAGAUAUGUGCACGGUUUAUGCCAUAUGCACCAUAGGCUAAGAAACCAUUUUAGACGCACCCGAUGGUACUCGUAGUUGAAGAGGCUCAAGUGGAGGCUUGAUUUGGUCAGUUCGGAUAUAGUGCUA